rnacentral:rRNA from 1 species
UACGAAGGGGGCUAGCGUUGCUCGGAAUCACUGGGCGUAAAGGGUGCGUAGGCGGGUCUUUAAGUCAGGGGUGAAAUCCUGGAGCUCAACUCCAGAACUGCCUUUGAUACUGAAGAUCUUGAGUUCGGGAGAGGUGAGUGGAACUGCGAGUGUAGAGGUGAAAUUCGUAGAUAUUCGCAAGAACACCAGUGGCGAAGGCGGCUCACUGGCCCGAUACUGACGCUGAGGCACGAAAGCGUGGGGAGCAACAGGGAUAA